GGCUGGGUAGCAAAGUGGCCAUGCAGCGGCCUGCAAAGCCGUCUACGCCGGUUCAAAUCCGGUCCCAGCCU
rnacentral:tRNA from 1 species